AAAAUAUUUUUUUUAUUCUCUUCUGUUUCUUGUAAACUGUACUUCCCCACUCUGCACAAACCAUUUUUAAAGCAAAACCUAAUGAAAUUAGUUGCUGAGACAGAAAAACUCUAAAGCAGGCUCCAACUGUGACUCAUGCACAGGGGCAUAUGUUCUUCAUUAGUGCUCCUAAGUCAUCUUUAAAGUUAGCACAAAUUGACAACAGUGAUGAUGACUAAAAUUAAAAAUUGUACUACAAAAUUAAUGUUAGAAUAGAAGAAAAUAAUUUAAGACACUGACUCUUUUGUCAGGCUGGCUGUAGGCGAAAGUCAGCUAAGAAACCAACAUUUUAGACAGUCUUUUAAAAGUGACGUCACUAUAAAACUCCAUUGUUUUGUCUUGAGAUUCUUAAAUAAUGCCACAAGAAUGACAAAUUAAAAUGCUGCAGAAUUAAUGGACUUCUACCUGCAGGACAUUCUUCCCUCUCUUCUCUUCACUCCUUAGAAUAAAGGGCCACAAUUUUGCUUGGUGUAUGAAAAUACUGAAGGCAGUGGCCAAAUUACAUAUUUCAUUCCCAUUUAUCUCAAGAGCUGACAGAAACCUCUGAAAAGGAAAAACAUAAAACUUGCUCUUUCUGCCUUUUUUUCCUUAAUAACUUGCUAGUGAUUAGUAAAAGAGAAACCCCAUUUUCAUGAAGAAAAUAAUUUCAUAAAGCAACAGAAAUUUUAUAAUAUGUAUUUCCAUAUAUCUCUAUUCCCCUUUCCCCUGUACUGCUGGAUGGGAGGAGGUAGAGAAUUCAGGAGUGAAGUUGAGCCCAGGAAGAAGAAAAGGGAGAAGUUAUUUAAAGAUUUAGUUUUUCACAUUAUCUGACUCUGAUUUUUCAUUGAUAACAAAUUCAAUUCACUUCCUCAAGCCAAGUCCUGUUUGCCCAUGACAGUAUCUGGUGACUGAUCUCUCCCUGCUCUUAUCUUGAGCCACAAGCCUUUCACUGUAUUUUCUCUCCCCUGGCCAGCUGCUUGGUGGGCAGCUGGCAUCCAGUCAGCAUCAACUCACCUCAAACAUACAAUAAAGUAUUGAUGCUUUGCUUGAAAUCCUUUAGCCUGGAGAAGAGAAGGCUCCAGAGAGACAUUAUUAGGUCUUAAAAUUUUUAAAGAGGGGUUAUUAAAUAGGUGAAAUUAGUUUUUUAUCAGAGCCUGUAGCAAAAGGACAAGGUGUAACAGUUUUAAACUGAAAGAGGGUAGAUUUUAAUUAGGUAUAAGGAAUAAAUUUUUCACUGUGGGGGUGGUGAGGCACUGGAAAAGGUUGUCCAGAGAAGUUGUGGGUGUCACAUCUCUGGGAGUAUUCAAGACCUGUCUGAAUGGGGCUUUAAGCAACCUAGUCAAGUAAAAUUGUCCCUACCCACAGCAGGGAGGGUGGACUAAGUGAUCUUUAUUGGUCCUUUCUAACAUGAACCAAUCUAUGUAUCUAUGAAAUAGCCAAAAUAUUCUCACAGAAUUAAAAUAAAACAUGAAUUUAUCUUUAUUCAGGAACAAAGUCAUAGCACUAAUGAAGGCAAUGUCCAUCCAGGAAGGGCAACAUAGAAAACCAUUGUCUUCUGAUUUAAGAACUGGUCUUCAGAGGAUAAUCCAUUCUUCCACCUGUCUGUAGAGCAUCAAACAGACAAGUGUAAUUACAUCUAAAGCCAGUGGUACAACCCACAAGCAAAAAAAAAAAAAAAAUUAAUUUAAUCAUUGAGAGGUAUAUCUUUGGAGCAGCUUAGGAGUGCCUUCUCAAUUUUUGCUACAUUUUAUAUCAAAUUUACCUUAAAUGGGCAUUAGACAAACUAUGUAAUCCUCCUCUUGAUUACCACAGUUGAUAUUCCAUGGUUUUGCCUAAAAGCUUCCUGUGGGCUCAGACUCUCAGCAGCCAGCCUAGAUUCCACAGUUUCUAAGAGAUCCGACAGUACACCAUUAUAAUGAAGGUGCAAGGUGCCCUGCACGCUCAACAGCAGCCUAUUUCUUCCUUGAGGCUGCUGUUAAGAGGAAGCAGUGAUUUGCUUCCAGCUGAAGAAAUACUUAAUUACAUCUUUUAUAAAUUAUAUAAAGAAUCCAAAACUUUCCUGUAAUUAUUGUUAUUUGUUCAGCUCACACAUUCACAAUAGCAUCAGCACAAGGAUUUCAGGUGAGGUUUCUUGUUAAAAAACAACUCAAACACUGCUCUCCAUGUCUUUUGGCACUAAAAUGACCUGAUUUUUGUGCUUCAAAUUUAUGAAAAAUCAGGAUGCUAAUUUGCAUUUACAAGUAGCAAUAAUAGAUGUCCAUUUCCUCAUUUCCAUGCAGACAUAGAUUCUAAUUUGUGUCGUACAAAGAACACCAGGAACUGAGAUUACAAGAUUACUGUUAAUCCUACUUGAUAUUAGAUCUUGCUUCCUCCAGAAGCAUUAUUACUCUGGCAAUAAGUGGAUUGCAAAAGUGGAUUUAUUAUUAGCCCCUUAAUUACCCUGCAGAUGUUUUACACUUGUUGCUCUUCAGACAGAUGUUCCUGAAAUUAAUGGUUUUCAAUGUCUUUAAAAACAUAGUUUAGCAAUUAGAAUACAGCAUAUAAUUACUCUUUUUUAUAAAAAUAGAUAUUAGAGUGCUUUAUUAAAUAGACUAUGACUCCAAAGGAAAACACUCAUAGUCAAAGGACUGAGAUGUUAAUUAUGUAAAUUAAACUAUUCAAGGGCUGUUACAGGAGAACGUGUAAGAUUUGUAGCACACCUGAAGGAUGGUUGAUGCCAUUGAGAGGAAUCUGGACCAGCUUGAGAAGUGGGCCCAUGAGAAAAUCAUGAAGGUCAAGGCCCAGUGCAAAGUCCUGCCCCUGGGUCAGGAUAACCACCAGUAUCAAUACAGACUGGGAGAUGAACAAAUUGAGAGCAGCCCUGACAAGGACUUGGGGAUUCUGCUGGGUGAGAGGCUAGGCAUGAGCCAGCAAGGUGUGCUAGGAGCCCAGAAAGCAAAUAGGAUGCUGGGCUGCACUCAAAGCAGCGUGGCCAGCAGGGUGAGGGAGGGGAUUCUGCCCCUCUGCUCUGCUCUGGUGUGACGUCACCUGCAGUGCUGCAUCCAGCCCUGAGGUCCCCAGAACAGGAAGGACAACGACCUGUUGGAGCAAGUCCAGGAGAGGGCCACCAAGCUGACCACAGGGAUGGAGCAUCCCUCUUAUGAGGAAAGGCUGAGAGAAUUGGGAUUGUUCAGCCUGGAAAAGAGGCUUUGGUGUGCCCUUAGAGCAGCCUUCCAGUACCCAAAAGGAGCCUACAAGAAAGAUGGAGAGGGACUUUUUACAAGGGCAUGUAGGGACAGGACAAGGGGGUAUGCCUUCAAACUGAGAGUAGAUUUGAAUUAGGUAUUAGGAAGGUAUUCUUUACUUUGAGGGUGAGACAUUGGAACAGGCUGACCAAAGCAUU
ensembl:lncRNA